rnacentral:piRNA from 1 species
GCCUUGGAGAUUUAAAACCAAGUAAAAGUGU